GUUAGGGUUUCCAGUGUGGCUGUUACCAGCAGUGAAGCCAUUGGGUCAUUCCUUUUUGGAGUUUCUACCUAUAUCAUGUAUAUGAUAUAUAUUUUUUGUUAGGGUUUUCAGUGUGGUUGUUACUGGUAGUUGCUGUUUAUUUGUUUUUUUGUUUAUUGUUUUGUACACAAACCAAGCAAAUAAUUUUCUUAUUAUUUUUUCAAGGC
rnacentral:lncRNA from 1 species